CUUUCGAUGGUAGGAUAGAGGCCUACCAUGGUGGUAACGGGUAACGGGGUGUUAGGGCACGACACCGGAGAGGGAGCCUGAGAAACGGCUACCACAUCCAAGGAUGGCAGCAGGCGCGCAAAUUACCCAAUCCCGACACGGGGAGGUAGUGACAAUAAAUAACAAUACGGGGUUCUUUCGGAUCUCGUAAUUGGAAUGAGUACAAUUUAAAUCUCUUAACGAGGAACAAUUGGAGGGCAAGUCUGGUGCCAGCAGCCGCGGUAAUUCCAGCUCCAAUAGCGUAUAUUAAAGUUGUUGCAGUUAAAAAGCUCGUAGUUGAAUUUCGGGGUCAGUAGGCUGGUCGUGUCACAGGUACGUACUGGUCUCACUGAUUCCUCCUUCCUGAUGAACCGUAAUGCCAUUAAUUUGGUGUUGCGGGGAAACUGGACUGUUACUUUGAAAAAAUUAGAGUGUUUAAAGCAGGCUAACGCUUGAAUACAUUAGCAUGGAAUAAUGAAAUAGGACGUUCGAUCCUAUUUUGUUGGUUUCUAGGAUUGACGUAAUGAUUAAUAGGGAUAGUUGGGGGCAUUAGUAUUCAAUUGUCAGAGGUGAAAUUCUUGGAUUUAUUGAAGACUAACUACUGCGAAAGCAUUUGCCAAGGAUGUUUUCAUUAAUCAAGAACGAAAGUUAGGGGAUCGAAGACGAUCAGAUACCGUCGUAGUCUUAACCAUAAACUAUGCCGACUAGGGAUCGGAUGAUGUUAAUUUUUUAAUGACUCAUUCGGCGCCUUACGGGAAACCAAAGUGUUUGGGUUC
rnacentral:rRNA from 1 species